GUCAAUCACAGCAACCUUCGGUCUAUAAUAUGCAGGCCGAUGUUCAAAUUUAAUGAACAGGGAAUCUAUUCACGUCUGAGUCCCUGGAUAGAAAUAGUCUACGAUGUUUUCCUUGACUCUAAAGUGAAAAUUGCGAACCUUAGAACUUGAGCCUCCCAGGUCACAAACACUUCCUUUAUUUAAAACAGUCAACUGUCCAUGCACGUCACUUGCUAAACCAGUUGCCAAAGGUUCUGCCUUAAUUAUAACAUCAGCAAAGUACUCCGGUUGCAAGAUUAACGGCAACAUAUUUGCACUGGAAUAGAUAUCCUCGUGAUUAAGAGUAACAAAGGAACAGCCAUAUUUUGCUUUCAGAGUGUAGCAGUAGUGUAGAAAAUCUAACACGUGAUUUGAUGAACCAUUAGCCGCCACUUCAAUAAGGGAGACGUCAUCAAUCAUAAUAGUAAUGGUUCUACUACCUUCAAGUGAAGAAUAUAUCUCUACUGCUUUCUCAA
rnacentral:misc_RNA from 1 species